rnacentral:misc_RNA from 1 species
GAUGAAGAACGCAGCGAAAUGCGAUACGUAGUGUGAAUUGCAGAAUUCAGUGAAUCAUCGAAUCUUUGAACGCAUAUUGCGCUCUUUGGUAUUCCGAAGAGCAUGCUUGUUUGAGUAUCAGUAAACACCUCAACCUCUUCUUGAUUUUUCAAAAGGAGGGUGGACUUGAGCUAUCCCAACAACCUUUACCGGUCGGCGGGCGGCUUGAAAUGCAGGUGCAGCUGGACUUUUAUCUGAGCUAAAAGCAUAUCUAUUUAGUCCUCGUCAAACAGGAUUAUUACUUUUGCUGCAGCUAACAUAAAGGAUAAUUGUCCUCUUUGCUGACUGAUGCAGGAUUUUACGACACUUUAUGUGUUGUUCAACUCGAUCUCAAAUCAAGUAAGACUACCCGCUGAACUUAAGCAUAUCAAUAAGCGGAGGA